rnacentral:snRNA from 1 species
AUCACUUCUCAGCCUUUUGGCUAAGAUCAAGUAUAUAUACUGCAUUUUGUUUAUUCUUAUGUUGAUGGACAACUUGGGUUGUUUUCAUCUUUUGGCUAUUGGAAAAUGCUACAAUGAACAAUAGUAUACAGGUGUCUGAGUGGCUGAUUUCCAAACUCUU